rnacentral:rRNA from 1 species
AACGAACGCUGGCGGCAUGCCUAACACAUGCAAGUCGAACGAGACCUUCGGGUCUAGUGGCGCACGGGUGCGUAACGCGUGGGAAUCUACCCUCAGGUUCGGAAUAACUCAGAGAAAUUUGAGCUAAUACCGGAUGAUGACGUAAUCCAAAGAAUUUUUGACCGAGGAUGGGCCCGAGGUGGAUUAGGGUGUUGGUGAGGUAAAGGCCCACCAAGCCGACGGAUCUUAGCUGGUUUGAGAGGAUGAUCAGCCACACUGGGACUGAGACACGGCCCAGACUCCUACGGGAGGCAGCAGUGGGGAAUAUUGGACAAUGGGCGAAAGCCUGAUCCAGCAAUGCCGCGUGAGUGAUGAAGGCCUUAGGGUUGUAAAGCUCUUUUACCCGGGAUGAUAAUGACAGUACCGGGAGAAUAAGCUCCGGCUAACUCCGUG